UACGAACGGUCCAAACGUUAUUCGGAAUCACUGGGCCUAAAGCGUCCGUAGGCGGCUCGGAAAGUAGGGUGUGAAAUCCCACGGCUCAACCGUGGAAUUGCGCUCUAAACUAUCGAGCUAGAGGGAGAUAGAGGUGAGCGGAACUGAUGGUGGAGCGGUGAAAUGCGUUGAUAUCAUCAGGAACACCGGAGGCGAAGGCGGCUCACUGGGUCUUUUCUGACGCUGAGGGACGAAAGCUAGGGGAGCGAACGGG
rnacentral:rRNA from 1 species